GACGAACGCUGGCGGCGUGCCUAAUACAUGCAAGUCGAACGCAGUGGGGACGGGUGAGUAACACGUGGGUAACCUCCCAUCAGAGGGGAUAACACUUGGAAACAGGUGCUAAACCGAUACUGAUGGAUGGACCCGCGGUGCAUUAGCUAGUUGGUGGGGUAACGGCUCACCAAGGCCACGAUGCAUAGCCGACCGAGGAGGGUGAGCGACCACACUGGAACUGAGACACGGCCCAGACGCCUACGGGAGGAAGCAGGAGGGAAUCUUCGGAAAUGGACGAAAGUCUGACCGAGCAACGCCGCGUGAGUGAAGAAGGUUUUCGGAUCGUAAAACCCUGUGGUGAGAGAAGCGAUAUCUAACCAGAAAGCCACGGCUAACUACGUGCCAGCAGCCGCGGUAAUUC
rnacentral:rRNA from 1 species